AAAAAGAUAAGCUAAGUUAAGCUAGUAGGUUCAUACCCUAUUUAUGAAUUUUUAUUCUCUUUUUA
rnacentral:tRNA from 1 species